rnacentral:misc_RNA from 1 species
UAAUAACAUCACAAUUCAUCUAACAUAAUGUUCAAAAUGGCACUGAAUUUCAUUCUGGAUAACAAAAAUAACAAUCUAGAACAUGUCCCUAACAUUAUGGGAAAUAGAAGCUCCAAAAUUAACCACACAAGUUUCAUUUCUUCUUUUCGCCACCUCCACCGGCUCUCAUCUUGCGGAGAACGCUGGACAUCUCUUCUCUCUUCUUCUUAGCUCUCUUGUGAGUUCCCAACUUUCUCUUAGCCACUUUUAGUGCUCUCUUGUCCUUUCCAACUUUAAGAAGCUCAGUGAUUCUCUUCUCAUAUGGGGCAAAGCCAGCAACUUCCCGGAUCAAAUUCCUCACAAAGAGAACUCUUUUGCUACUUUUUCCUUUACGAUCUGAGGGGCGCGGAGCCAACUCUUUCUUUGUAACUACGUGUCCUUUGUUAAGUCCCACAAAGAGACCAGAAUUCGGCUGCUUCGGAGCCAUUGCCUUCUCGUAUGGACCAGAACCAAAUGACCGGAG